rnacentral:rRNA from 1 species
CCUACGGGGGGCUGCAGUGGGGAAUAUUGGACAAUGGGGGCAACCCUGAUCCAGCCAUGCCGCGUGUGUGAAGAAGGCCCUCGGGUUGUAAAGCACUUUCAGUGAGGAAGAACGCCUGGUGGUUAAUACCCAUCAGGAAAGACAUCACUCACAGAAGAAGCACCGGCUAACUCCGUGCCAGCAGCCGCGGUAAUACGGAGGGUGCGAGCGUUAAUCGGAAUUACUGGGCGUAAAGCGCGCGUAGGUGGCUUGAUAAGCCGGUUGUGAAAGCCCCGGGCUCAACCCGGGAACGGCAUCCGGAACUGUCAAGCUAGAGUGCAGGAGAGGAAGGUAGAAUUCCCGGUGUAGCGGUGAAAUGCGUAGAGAUCGGGAGGAAUACCAGUGGCGAAGGCGGCCUUCUGGACUGACACUGACACUGAGGUGCGAAAGCGUGGGUAGCAAACAGGAUUAGAUACCCUGGUAGUC